AAAUUACGUAUUUUUUGAUCACAUUUCGCACAGGUAAGUGCAUAAAUGCUGCUUGUUUUGUUAUGCAAGGGUAAUUUUGUUUGUGACUAUCAAAAAGUUGAAUUAUUGUUCAUUUAUAAAAAGUGCGUGGAGGCAUCAACAGCAAAAGUGUAUAGUAUUGAAAAGUGAAAAAAUAUGAAAAAGUGUACGUUUAUAUAAGAAAAUGUCAGAAGUUAAAUUACAAAAAUAGAAGAGGCUAAAAUAAAAACGAUGGCAAAGAAGAGUCAGAAAAUUUAAUUUUGCAAAAAAGAAGUAAAACUGAAUAUGAGAAAAAUGAAGAAACUGUCCAGAAACGUGAAUUGGUAAAGCAAAAUGAGACAGAACUUGAUUUAAAGAGUUUAUUGCAAAAACCGAAAGGUUUUUCAGAUAAAUUAGCCUGCCAAUACAGCUGGAACGGGACAGGGUAUAUCUGAGUGCAAAAAAGUGUUAUUUAGUUACAGUAAUCAAAAAUAUGUGUCAUCUCAAAUACUCAAGCAACGACAAGGAUAUGAACAUAAUCCUACAAAAACAUUUUGUUCACGCUAGAGACCGCGUUAUAAAUAGAAAACGGCCCGAUUGCAGUUCCUAAUUUUUU